GAUCAUGGCUCAGGAUGAACGCUAGCUACAGGCUUAACACAUGCAAGUCGAGGGGCAGCAUGGUCUUAGCUUGCUAAGGCCGAUGGCGACCGGCGCACGGGUGAGUAACACGUAUCCAACCUGCCGUCUACUCUUGGACAGCCUUCUGAAAGGAAGAUUAAUACAAGAUGGCAUCAUGAGUCCGCAUGUUCACAUGAUUAAAGGUAUUUCUGGUAGACGAGUGGG
rnacentral:rRNA from 1 species